rnacentral:rRNA from 1 species
GACGAACGCUGGCGGCGUGCCUAAUACAUGCAAGUAGAACGCUGAAGGAGGAGCUUGCUUCUCUGGAUGAGUUGCGAACGGGUGAGUAACGCGUAGGUAACCUGCCUGGUAGCGGGGGAUAACUAUUGGAAACGAUAGCUAAUACCGCAUAAGAGUAGAUGUUGCAUGACAUUUGCUUAAAAGGUGCAAUUGCAUCACUACCAGAUGGACCUGCGUUGUAUUAGCUAGUUGGUGGGGUAACGGCUCACCAAGGCGACGAUACAUAGCCGACCUGAGAGGGUGAUCGGCCACACUGGGACUGAGACACGGCCCAGACUCCUACGGGAGGCAGCAGUAGGGAAUCUUCGGCAAUGGACGGAAGUCUGACCGAGCAACGCCGCGUGAGUGAAGAAGGUUUUCGGAUCGUAGAGCUCUGUUGUAAGAGAAGAACGAGUGUGAGAGUGGAAAGUUCACACUGUGACGGUAUCUUACCAGAAAGGGACGGCUAACUACGUGCCAGCAGCCGCGGUAAUACGUAGGUGGCAAGCGUUAUCCGGAUUUAUUGGGCGUAAAGAGAGUGCAGGCGGUUUUCUAAGUCUGAUGUGAAAGCCUUCGGCUUAACCGGAGAAGUGCAUCGGAAACUGGAUAACUUGAGUGCAGAAGAGGGUAGUGGAGCUCCAUGUGUAGCGGUGGAAUGCGUAGAUAUAUGGAAGAACACCAGUGGCGAAGGCGGCUACCUGGUCUGCAACUGACGCUGAGACUCGAAAGCAUGGGUAGCGAGCAGG